UACGUAGGGGGCAAGCGUUGUCCGGAUUUAUUGGGCGUAAAGAGCGUGUAGGCGGCCUGGUAGGUCAGCUGUGAAAACUCGAGGCUCAACCUCGAGACGCCGGUUGAAACCAUCAGGCUAGAGUCCGGAAGAGGAGAGUGGAAUUCCCGGUGUAGCGGUGAAAUGCGCAGAUAUCGGGAAGAACACCCGUGGCGAAGGCGGCUCUCUAGUACGGUACUGACGCUGAGACGCGAAAGCGUGGGGAGCGAACAGG
rnacentral:rRNA from 1 species